rnacentral:rRNA from 1 species
UACGUAGGGUCCGAGCGUUGUCCGGAAUUAUUGGGCGUAAAGAGCUCGUAGGCGGUUUGUCACGUCUGCUGUGAAAACUGGAGGCUCAACCUCCAGCCUGCAGUGGGUACGGGCAGACUAGAGUGCGGUAGGGGAGAAUGGAAUUCCUGGUGUAGCGGUGGAAUGCGCAGAUAUCAGGAGGAACACCGAUGGCGAAGGCAGGUCUCUGGGCCACUACUGACGCUGAGAAGCGAAAGCGUGGGGAGCGAACAGG